rnacentral:lncRNA from 1 species
GCGGUUGUGGCUCAGGGGUCAGCUCCUGCUAGUGCCAGGACACUACUGGGAGGCUGGGACCCGACCAAAGCCCAUGGUGUUUCUGGCCUGAGAACAAGGUGUCUUGGGACCAUAAGGCCAGGCCACCAAUGGCCAUUGGGUCAUAGGGGCUCAGCCCCAAUCUUUGUCUUUCCCUGGCUCCUUCUGAUUCAGUCCCAUCAGGGCCCUGGAUCCCAAGACUCAGCAUCCAAGGUCCCCUCCAGGAAUCCUGGCAGCUCAGCAUACUUUAUCCUGUUUCAUCUGAGAGCAAAAAUGUAAAAUUGGAUGCACAGAAAAGUGACUCAAAGUGCUUAAUGACUAGAAGAAAUCUAGGAGCAGCAAGAAGGUAAUGUGGAGGGAGGGACCUCCAUGACCGGUGUCUGCAGAGCCAGGGGUACAGGCACCCAGUGCUGUGGCCUGGCACCACCUGCCUCUCAGAGGGUGGGUGGCACACUCCUUAACCAGAGGACAGCAGGCCUGGUCACCAGCUUUUCUACCUGUCCCUGUAAGCAUCACAUUGCUGGAGGAAAAUCUCAUGCCAGAGCUUGGACCAUCCCUAGCUCGGGUUAGGGGUUGUCCCUUGGUGACCUAAAUGAAAAAACAGGUCCAGAACAGAGUUCCUGAUGCUGGACACUCAUUCAGUCUUUGAAUCGUGGGAGGGGAGGCCUGGUACUAGGUAGACCUAACCUCUUUGAGGAACCACAGAGCCCAAGGCUGGAAACCUCCAGAAUCCUCCACCCCCUGAUCCUCCCUGGGGACCCCUGUGGCCUGUCUCACUGAGCACUCUUCCAUCUGUAGAUGUCUGGGCUGCUGUACAAGGGAGUCCCCUUUCAGGUGUGGUGCUAGACAUGGUCACUCCUGCUGGAUGUCUAGGUGGUAGAAACCAAGGACCUAGGGAAAUACCAGCUACAGCCUUUCCCCGCUCAUCCAGAGCAGGACAAACAGGCCAGGCGGUGUCAGGAGCCCAGGUCUCCAGCUGGAGGGAACGUCAACCCUGCGGUGGGAGUAGGGGCCCUUUGCACAUCCUAGGCACAGAUGGUAAUGUAGACACCACAGGUAAGCUGGGCUUGGUACCUACCCCUCCCCGGAUUCAGAAAGAAACCAAACAAGGAGCUUUGUGCGGAAUGAAACCUCCUUUCCUCCCAGAAGCACUGCUGACUGUUUGGUGGUUGCCAUUUGUGGCAGUGAGCCUUUGUUUGUUCUGAGGUUGGGCUGGUUUCUCCUCUUGGUCCUGCCCUACAGAUCAUAAAGGAGAACAGCAAGAGGUCCCCAGCAAACAUCCACAGAUGGCCUUGGAACCUCACCCUGCAGGAAUGCCAGUGAACAUACUGCUGACAUCUUGGAGCUCAGUACCCUCAUAGUGUAACGGCGUCAGUAGAUCUGCCUGUGCUUGGACUUCCUGUACUACCCAUUCCUGAGGGGCGAUGCUUCUGCAGGGCCUGUGACUUGGUGCACAACUUCAGACACCAUCAUCUUGCAGCAGCACCGCACCCUCACUAGCCAGGGUGUUGAUGACUUCCUCAAGGCCAAGGCCACAUUCAAGGCUUCGGACUUUAUUGAUGCGCUUGUGCUGAGCAAGGUGGCUUCUCCAGGAUCUUAAUUCAGGAGGUAGAAUGGAGCUUGAGAUCAAGUGUCUGAUCAAGCCUCAGUGUAUGGGCGCUGUUCAUCCUCUGGUGCUGAAGCAGCCAAGAGACCCAAGUCUGCCUGGCUGCCUCUUAGGAUAUGACAGCAGAGCCAGUGGCCUCUACUAGAUCCUGUACAACCUCACAAAACACCCAGACAUCGGGAGUGCUGCCAGCCUGUGAUGCAAGAGUCCUAAUCCUGAAGACAUUGAAUGACCUGUCAUUCUGCUGUUUUUACCAAAAAGGAUCAUGAGGAUCAGAGAGGAAAAGUCACUUGCCCAAAGUCACACAGCUGAACAGUGGUGGAGUUCAACUUUGACCAUGGGCUGUCUGGCCCCAAGGUGUAUGCUUGCUUCUCUCCCAAGAGACUCCUUUCUUAUCAGGCUCAAAUGAAUGAAAGGAGGAUGUUAAAGUUCCUAGAAGCUUUAAUUGAAUGAAAGUUCCUAGUAGAUCUGUACCUACUAAAAACCACACUUCUGAAGCUACGUGGCCACCAGAAGACACAGCUAGUCUGCCAUGUAAAAAAGGAAAGGUGGCGUGUGCCCUGAAGGCGCAGGGGUGAGAGGCAGGGAAAUGGAGACCCCAACAGCCAGCAUCAGUGGCCCUCAUCACAGCCCUCCAGGAGAUAUCAAAGGAGACAACGCCAUUAUUGACGAGAUCACUCCCAAGCGGAUUGGAGAUUGUCCCAAUACUUAGACCUAUAGCAAGGCCUUGGGAGAAAUGGUGGUGCAGCAGGAGAGCAGGAACCUAACCAUUGCCAUCCUAAGGCCCUCCAUUGUGCGGAGCAACGUCGCACCAGCUUUUCCUGGGUUGGGUUGAUAAUCUAAAUGGAUGUAGCUGACUCAUUAUUGCGGCUGGGAAAGGGUUUCUUCUGUCCAUAAAAGCUACUCCAAUGGCUGUGGGAGACUUAAUUCCAAUUCCAGGUGAUACAGCCGUCAAUCUCCCACUAGCUGUAGGAUGGUGUGUGUGCUGCAGUUCACAGGGCAAAGGAGAUAGAAGUGGAUGAAAUGAGAGAAUUUUCUUUAAUUGAACUCUGGUUAAUGCCAAAAGUGUUCAAUCACUAUGUGUGGGGAAGUUUCCUGGUACAAAGGAAAAAAAAACAACCUAAGUCAGUGUUAGUCUACCACUGUACAUCUGGUAACCUCAAUCCCUGCAACCGGGGCAAAAUGGGUUUCCAGGUCUUGGCAACCUUUGAAAUUCCAAUUCCAUUUGAGAGAGCUUUGACGAGGCCAUAUGCUGAUUUCACCACCAGCAACUUCAGAACCCAGUACUGGAAUGCCAUCAGCCAGCAGGCCCCUGCCAUCAUCUAUGACUUCUAUCUGUGGCUCACUGGAAGGAAACCCAGCUACCGAAGGAAGAUACCCUCAUCAACCCAAUUUUACAAAUGGAGAAAUAGAAGUUAAGGGAAGAAUCUGAAGUAGUCUCAAAGGCAGUGACAGGAAGGAUGUGGAGAAAGCUGAGUGUCAAAGUCAGUAUUCAGGACCGGCUUUACUGCUACUUAGAGAUGAAUGAAGAAAUCAGAGGGAACGCAGUGUGCUGAUGCUAAAGCAGCUGUCACCACCCAGCUGUGUGACAUAGGACAUAUUCUUUCUCUGUCUCACUUGACUAAUAUGAUAUGUCAGAGGAGACAUGAUUGUAAUUGCCUAAAGCAAUUCUUGUGAUCAAGACUCAGAAGCACGAACAGUAUUGCCCUCUGUGUUAGCCCCUUUAUAAGGGAGGAUAUCAUCUUCAGCAUGCUGAAUUGUCAUCUUUCUUAGCAGUGCAAAUGACUAAAACUUAGCCAAUGUAGAGUUUGUCCAAAUUUGGAGCUCAUAACUCAGUUCUUGAGCAAAGUGAAAAGAAAACAUUGUGAUUAUGGGGAAAAUAUUUGACGGGACUUAUCAAAUAAAGAUAGGAAAAGAAGAAAACCCAAAUAUUAUAGGCAGAAAUGCUAAAGGUUUUAAAAUAUGUCAGGAUUGGAAGAAGGCAUGGAUAAAGAACAAAGUUCAGUUAGGAAAGAGAAACACAGAAGGAAGAGACACAAUAAAAGUCAUUAUGUAUUCUGUGAGAAGUCAGUAAGAUUUGUUGGAAGUGGGUUGGUUUGUUGUAUGGUAUGUAUUUUAGCAAUAAUCUUUAUGGCAGAGAAAGCUAAAAUCCUUUAGCUUGCGUGAAUGAUCACUUGCUGAAUUCUUCGAGGUAGGCAUGAUGAAGGAGGGUUUAGAGGAGACACAGACACAAUGAACUGACCUAGAUAGAAAGCCUUAGUAUACUCAGCUAGGAAUAGUGAUUCUGAGGACACACUGUGACAUGAUUAUGCCAUUACAUGUAUGGUAGUGAUGGGGAUGAUAGAAGGAAGAACUUAUGGCAUAUUUUCACCCCCCCAAAAAUCAGUUAAAUAUUGGGACACUAACCAUCCAGGUCUAGAAAAGUCACAUGCCAUAGCCAUGGUAUUGCACAUCAUUCAUCUUGCAUUCUUUGAGAAUAAGAAGAUCAGUAAAUAGUUCAGAAGUGGGAAGCUUUGUCCAGGCCUGUGUGUGAACCCAAUAUUUUGUUUAGAAAUAGAACAAGUAAGUUCAUUGCUAUAGCAUAACACAAAAUUUGCAUAAGUGGUGGUCAGCAAAUCCUUGAAUGCUGCUUAAUGUGAGAGGUUGGUAAAAUCCUUUGUGCAACACUCUAACUCCCUGAAUGUUUUGCUGUGCUGGGACCUGUGCAUGCCAGGCAAGGCCAAGAUGGCUCAAAGAGCAACCAGCCACCUCUGCAGCCUGCCACCUCCUGCUGGCAAGAUUUGUUUUUGCAUCCUGUGAAGAGCCAAGGAGGCACCAGGGCAUAAGUCUACUCACUUAUAUCUGUCUGGAACAUAACGCUUGUUUGUUUUUACAACAAAUAAAAUUGAUCUUGAAUAAAA